GCUGGGCAUGGCGGCACAUGCCUGUAAUCCCUGGUCCCAAGGAGGCUGAGCCUGGUAGAUCUCUUGAGUUCAGGAGUUCAAAGUUGCAAUAUGAUGAAAUCUAAUUGAGUGUCCUCACUUAUUCCAUGACCAGUAUGAUGACUGCCUAGAUGUGGGAGUCCACCAAUCUGCCUAGGGAGAGGCAAAGAGCCUAGGUUGGAAACAAAGGAGGUCAAAGUUCCUGGGCAGAUCAACAGUGGGAUUGGGCCCAGGUGUGGUCCUGUACUUCCAGCCUAUGUGAGAUAGAGAAAUCCAAU
ensembl:misc_RNA Metazoa_SRP Metazoan signal recognition particle RNA